GAGGGUAUAGCUCAGUGGUAGAGCAUGUGCUUAGCAUGCACGAAGUCUGGGUUCAUUCCUCAGUACCUCUA
rnacentral:tRNA from 1 species